UCUACGCGCUACGUCGAAGCAUGGGAAUGCGCCUUACGUAGCGCGAAAGAGUACACGCGACCGUCGACGCGCGUAUCCCGCAGUGGAUCAAGAGCGCAAGACUCCGCAAGAUCCGCUUGAGACUUCACACACGAAGCGGGCCUUACGAACGAUCCGCUCCAACUCCGCAGCGCCGCUCGUGCUGCACCUCGACCGAAUCCCGCGCGAUGUUGAAUUCACGCACCGAUAUCAUCUGCUGCUGCGACCGAUAAUUUAUGAUGAUGAUGAUGCCAUUUAGGAUGGAACAUCCAAAGGCUGGUAUUUUGUAGUUACACACGUAGCGCCGUAACUUGAAGCUUCAAUAACAAGCUUUGGUGUAUAAUCGAUUCUGGCGCAUCGAGUUGUCACGAAGCAUCCUGAACGCGGAUAAUACGCGACACUGAAACCCACGAUGUAAGAAUUUCCUUGCGAGAAGCAUGAGUGUGGUAAAUAAACGAUAAAACAGCCAAGCGUAAGUCGCCAGUAAAGCCGUUAUAAAACUCCGCACUAUGAUUAUCCGCUUAUGUUAAUCCUGAGCGUACAAUGUAACGCGUGUUUGGCUCUUUUUCAUUCUCAUAGACGCGCCCGUAAAUUUGAUUGAACCGUGGGUGACUAAUAUCGAGACACUUUGAUUGGAAAGAAAUUUAGCACGUCAAACAGAAAUCGUAAACUAAAUACCGAAGAACCGUUAAAUUCUGCCUAUCGAUACCGCUCGCCGAUAUAUAAUCAUCUGCAUG
rnacentral:misc_RNA from 1 species